AGUGAACGCUGGCGGUAGGCCUAACACAUGCAAGUCGAACGGCAGCACAGUAAGCGCUUGCUCUUACGGGUGGCGAGUGGCGGACGGGUGAGGAAUACAUCGGAAUCUACUUUUUCGUGGGGGAUAACGUAGGGAAACUUACGCUAAUACCGCAUACGACCUACGGGUGAAAGCAGGGGAUCUUCGGACCUUGCGCGAUUGAAUGAGCCGAUGUCGGAUUAGCUAGUUGGCGUGGUAAAGGCCCACCAAGGCGACGAUCCGUAGCUGGUCUGAGAGGAUGAUCAGCCACACUGGAACUGAGACACGGUCCAGACUCCUACGGGAGGCAGCAGUGGGGAAUAUUGGACAAUGGGCGCAAGCCUGAUCCAGCAAUACCGCGUGAGUGAAGAAGGCCUUCGGGUUGUAAAGCCCUUUUGUUGGGAAAGAAAAGCAGCAGGUUAAUACCCGGCUGUUCUGACGGUACCCAAAGAAAAAGCACCGGCUAACUUCGUG
rnacentral:rRNA from 1 species